UAUUGCACAAUGGGCGCAAGCCUGAUGCAGCCAUGCCGCGUGUAUGAAGAAGGCCUUCGGGUUGUAAAGUACUUUCAGCGGGGAGGAAGGGAGUAAAGUUAAUACCUUUGCUCAUUGACGUUACCCGCAGAAGAAGCACCGGCUAACUCCGUGCCAGCAGCCGCGGUAAUACGGAGGGUGCAAGCGUUAAUCGGAAUUACUGGGCGUAAAGCGCACGCAGGCGGUUUGUUAAGUCAGAUGUGAAAUCCCCGGGCUCAACCUGGGAACUGCAUCUGAUACUGGCAAGCUUGAGUCUCGUAGAGGGGGGUAGAAUUCCAGGUGUAGCGGUGAAAUGCGUAGAGAUCUGGAGGAAUACCGGUGGCGAAGGCGGCCCCCUGGACGA
rnacentral:rRNA from 1 species